rnacentral:misc_RNA from 1 species
AAAGAAUUUAAAAAAAAAAAAUUGUAAUACAUGCCAGACCCUAAAUAUUAAAAAAAAAAAAAUUUAAAACCCUAAACCGUAUAUAAACAAUCUCACAACCCUAACCUUACAUUUGUAAAGGAACCUAACCUUGAUUAGGUUAGAUUUCCUAAAAGCCAAUAAAUCAAUAACCAGGCUUGUAACUUUGCCUACAAAUUUAGCAUUUAUAACCACUAUGCCAUUGAACUAUUAUAUAAUAUUGUAGCCUUGAGUGCUUGUCUCUUAAUCUAAAAGGUGAGAGUUUAAUUUUUUUUAUCUAAGUUUCUUCAAAUUUCUAAUAUGCCUAUCUCAAAAUAUUUUAUCAUUAAGGUAGUAUUUGGCUUAAUUUUAAAAUUUUUAAAAUUUACUAUUUGUUAAUUCUUGAAUUUUGCUAUAGAGUAAAUUAAUGUUAUAGAAUAAAACUGCAUGCUUAGUAAAUAUACGAUUUUCUGUAAUUUUUUUUACAUUAAUCCACUUCAUUUUGGAGUAUGGUUUGCUCUUUCUUAUAUAUAUUGAUUUUAUUUGCAAUUUUCAUGUUGUUUUGCUUUUAAACAAUUAGCUUUUAAUACACAAAUAAGUCCUUAAAAAAAAGUAUGUAGUAAUUAAAUUCACUUUUUAAUGACGAUAGAAAUGCUAAAUCCAUUAAAUAAAUAAAUAAAAGAAAUAAAUAAACACAACACAUAUUUAUGUGGUUUAUCUUCUCAUUAAUGGUAUAAUACACUCAACUUCUAAUCACAAUAUAGUAUAGUAAAUAGAAUAUUUUAUCCCUCUCAUUCUCCUCUACACAUAACUAAGCUAUCUACUAUUUUAAUAUCGUAAUAUGCUAUAAAUGGUAUCUUCACUGCAUGGGCAAUAAUUCACUCAAUGGUGGACAAGAGUCAUUUUUAGACUCUAUGCUGUUUCUCCAUCUAUGGAUUGGAAUGGAUUAGAGUUCUUCCUUUUGGACUCUAAAAUAUCAUUUCUCUGUUCAUUUGCUAAAGCCAAAUAGCCUCUACUUCAAUGCUUAUGUUUAUAGUGUUAAUUCAUUUAAUUUUAAUUCCAAUAAGAACCUCUCUCAAUUAGUAAUGAUAAUAAAUUAUAAGUCUUAAACUAUAUAAGAAAUAAUUCUACAUCCAAUGAAGAAUAUUUUUUCCAUUUUA